rnacentral:lncRNA from 1 species
AAUCUCCCCGGCGAUUUCGCCGUCCCGGCACCCAUGCCGACCCCCACCUAUCUUUCUAUCUGUGCCGUAAAUCUCGCCGCGUGCCGUCGUCAGACCACCGCGCGCGUGCUCCGACCGUGUGCCGCAUUUGCCGUCGGUCCCUCUCUUUUCCUUUCUCUUUUUCCCUCCCCAUUUUCUUUUCUUUUUUCUCCUUUCUUCCUCCUUCUUCUUCCUUCUUCCUCCUUCCUUCUUCUCUCUCCUUCUCUUCCUUCUUCCUGGCGCCCGAACCACCGGCCCCAGUGCCAUUACUCCGGCGCCCCCUUCCUGGCGCCAUACCGGCGGCCGAUCCGGUCCGCCGCUCGCCUGGGACCCGCCGCUCGGCGCGGUGCCGGCCACGCCAUCGCCUCCCCUCGGGCCGCGUGCCCGACCCGGCCCCGGUCGCGGCGUCGCCCGCCCGGCGUCGCCCGAGGAGGAGCCCGAGGAGGAGUUUGACCGCGAGCACGAGCCCGAGGACCAGUACCGCGAGCAGGAACUCUUGGAAGGCUUUGAAGACGGCAAGUCCAAUCUCACCCCUUGAUGCAUACUUAAUACCUAGUUUUUCAAACACAACCUGUUGGCCUGUUUUACAAAAUGCAUAUUAUUUCAUCACAAGACAUGGUUGGAUAGCCACCCCUUGAUUGUUACGAACAUUCCUUGCUAUCCUAGGUUUAUCUCUAAAUAUGACUUGCUCUGUUUAGAUGAUAACCACUGCUAGAACGCUUAGGAAUUUAUUACUCAACUGCAAUCAUUAUUACCAUGGUGUUUUCAGAAAAUGAACAUGUGUGUGUGUGUAAGUGAGAAAAAUGGCUUUUCGGGUUCAGGGGAAAAGGAUGUGUAGACAGGAUGGAUGGGUAUUCCUUGUGUGGGGUGCCAGUUUGUUGUGCUCGUACCUGGGUGGUUGAGAAAUGACGGGAGAUAUCCAUCUUGUCAUAUUUAAGGACCGAGUUGAUGUGUCAUCUUGCCUAAUUCCACCAUCGUGCAACCACUCGACCGUUGUAUGGGCAACGGCUUAGCAUAAAUCCCACUAGCUGAACUGUUAGUCCUUAGGGGUGCUGGUGAGCAACGGGAGCCCAUGGAAAAGGAGUAAGAUCUUGGUGACUUAGGUCCUGGUUAUGGUCUCGUGGACGAGCCGUGAACCCCUUGGGUGUUUCCUCGAGGGCUAGCCAGCCUUAGCUAAGGUGGGUAAUGGCUUUGUUAGGAUCCGUACCGUCACUAAGGUGAUCGCGAUAUGGUACCCUACUUGUGGGAAAAGUGUACACCCUCUGCAGAGUUAAAACCUAUCCGGGUAGCCGUGUCCACGGCAUUGGACGAGUUACGGCUUGGUCACAUAACUAGCAAUUGGGCAAGGAUGUCAUGUGUGGGUGUGUGUGUGUGUUGGAUUUUGGAAGAGUCCGACAGUUGUGCCGUGCGCUAUGGCGGACGGGGAGUCCGAUAGCGAUAAAAACUUGGAUCCUUUGUGUAGGAUCAACCCCACUCAAUGUUUCGGGUAUUAACGGAAACCUUUACAAAAACCCUUUCGAAAAUGAUCCCCUGCAUGUGUUAAAAUUUAGCUUUACCGCAAACAAACUAUAGCCUAUCCUUGUUGUACCUGUGCAUAAACUUGCUUGUAUCCCCCUCCGUGGAUGGGGUUGGACUUGCUGAGUACGUUUGUACUCACCCUUGCUUCGUUGCUACAGAGGAAGACCCGGAUUUCGUCGCCGAGGACCUUGAGUAGAGGUUGUGUCCGCACCCGACGCUGCCUGUGGUGUUGGCCUACCCAAGAUGCUGCUGCUGCCGUGUAGCCCCGAGUGCUGUCUUUUGGCAGUCGCUUGGUUAGCCGCCGUUAUUUAUUUACUGCUUAUCGCUGCGUGGCUUUCACGCCCACUCCCCCGGGAGUUGUACGGUAACUGAAUUAUCUGUCGAAUAAAUGUGCUAUCAGCCUCCUGGGACUAAUAUUUGUAUCACAUUUAGUCUCUACUUAUGUGGGGACGCUUCAGGUGGUAUCAGAGCUGUCGUUGGCUGUAGGACGCGACCCUAGGACCGGAUUAGCCCUUUUUGACCAAAAAAAAAAGAAUUACAAAAUUUCUGCCUACCUCUGCUCUAUUGUAAAACUAAUUUGUGCCCCAGAUCUUUUCCAGAUGGCCGAGGAAGGAUGGGUCAACAGCCACUGCCUGGAGGAGCCUGGUUUUCCCAGAUUGUUGUUCGCCUGCAUGGACCGCCUCGGGAUUUAUGAGCGUCCGGAGUACACAAGCAGGGAGUACGAGGACCGCGGGACCCCUCGGUGUGAGAUGAUUAUCUACAUCGGGCGGAGUAGCCGCUACCCGGACAUCCAGCCAUGGAAUGUGACUGCCACCGGCUUCCGGCACAAGGAUACUUAUCAAGUGGCAGCCCGGAAGGCCCUCCGUUUCCUGUGCCAGAUCUAUGAAAGGCACAUUGGCCGCACUCCGAUGAGGUUCUACCCGCCGGUCAAGAAAAACCGCCCGGUUUGGCUGGCCCGGGUACGGACCUUGGAAGGACGUGGACAGCGCGAGGAUGACCCCACUAUGCUGCACAUGGCUGCCUACCUUCUCACCUUGGACGAGCUCUACGAUGAGCAGGCUGCUAAGUUGAAGUAGCAGACCCGUAGGGCCGAGGACGCAGAAGUUAUGGUGAGGAGGCUUCAGGUGAAGUUAGCCGCCGCCGAAGCCCGAGCCGCAGCCGCUCAAAGCAAUGAGGCCAUUGCCGUUGAGGCUCUUAAGGAGGCCGAGGAUCGGCACUCCAAGGAACUGAAGGAUGCCCACCUCACCAUUCGUGCCAGAAGGAGGAUGGUGGCCAUCGAGGACGACGAGGCCCCGAUCCUUGAAGGGAUUCCCAUUGCCCCAGGGCCCAGUAAGCGGAAAAGCCCGGACGCCACCCCGGCACCACCACCUUCAAAAAGGAACUCCGAGGUGUCGGAUGGAGUGGUUCCCGAGACCCCUCCCACGGGGCGGGACUCUGAAGGAUGAGGUGCUGGCCCUUCUCCUUCCGAUAGAAGAUCACUCAGUCCAGGGAGAAGACUCGCCUCGCGAGUAGCAUGCCCAGCCAGGAUUGCCCAAGGAAUGAAGCCGUCAUGGUCCGCAGUUUAGAGUUGUACCCCUUCAGUUGUGUUGCUGUAACCGGUCGUGUAGUACGUGUUUUGGCUUUACCCCCAGCAGUGUUGUACCCCCCCCCCCCCCGUGGCAAAAUAAAUAAAAUCGCUUGUGUUUGUUGCUUGUUAGUCUGUGUGUUGUCGACAGGAGGUGGAUUCUGUCUCUUCGAAAAUACGAAUUUACCACUUUAAAGAUCACUAAAAUCCAAAUCACAGUCUCAUAAAGUCUCACUCAAUCUGCAGAUGCCGCCCAAGCGUGCCACCAGGACUUCCCCAAGUCAGGCCCAUGCCACCCCCAAUGCAGAGAGGCAGCCAGAAAGGCAAGAACCGCCUUCGGCAGCACUUCCUGAGGAGCAGGAAGUGAGCCAGCCAGAAGGAAGGGGAGAAAGUCAGUUGGGGACACAGCAGCCACCGCCCCCACCGGUUAUUGAUCUGGUUCAAGUAAUGAACAACCAGACCCUUCUGCUGGAAGCUCUAGCCAACGCCAUUACUCGCCAGAGGCCCCGCGGACAGAACAUGAAUGAAAGGUUAAUGGACUUCCUUCGGACCAAGCCACCCACUUUUGGCGGGUCUGUCAACCCUUUGGACGCAGAUGACUGGCUGCGCGUUAUCCAGAGGAAGCUGGAGCCAUUUGGUUGUGAGGGCAGGGACAAAGUUCUCUUGGCUGCCCACCAGCUCACUGGGACUGCCCUAGCUUGGUGGGAGAACUACUGCUCUGCCACACAGUAUGCCUCCACUAUCACCUGGGAUGAGUUCGUGACGGAAUUUCGUCGCUACCAUAUCCCCGCAGCCACCAUGAAGCACAAGGCGGAUGAGUUCCGUGAGCUCCGCCAGGGCAACAGAUCUGUGGAAGAGUAUACUUUCCAGUUCAUGGAGCUGGCCCGUUAUGCUCCAGAGGAGGUGGACAAGGAUGAGAAGAAGCAGGACAUGUUCAAGAAAGGCUUGAACGCGGAGCUGAGGACCCUGCUCACUCCCCAGAUCUACCCCGACUUCAACACCUUGAUGAACAUGGCCAUCUUAACUGAGAGGGCCAAGGCAGAAGAGCGGAGGGACAACAAGCGUCGGUUCCUGGAGAGCAAGGCACACCAGCAGGACCGAUUCCAAAAGCCAAGGAGCUUCGGUCACCCCUUGCCCAGAUCCCAAGCUCCCAUGCAUUAUCGGACCCAGUCCCAAGCAUCUGGCUCACAUCAGACUGCUGCCCCAUUCAGGAGCUAGAACCCUAUCAAGGCCCCACAGAGCAGCGCCAGCCAAGUCACUGGCAAUGGUAGGGCAUGCUUCAACUGCAGGGAGCCAGGACAUUUCAUCGCCAACUGCCCCUAUGCCAACAAGCCAGCAGCGUCAGCCCUAUCCAACUCAGUAGCGGGGCCCAGGGCCGCAUUGUCAGGAGCCAACCGUGUGCCAGUCCGCAGCAGCGGCAACCCCAGCAACAACAACAGCCAGCAGAUGAGGCCGCCCCAGCAAUCAUUCGGACAAGCCCGCGUCAACCACAUCGGCGCGCAGGAGGCUCGCGAAGCUCAGGGCGUGGUACUCGGUGAGUUUCUAGUCAGCUCAGUCUUGGCAACAGUACUUUUUGAUUCUGGAGCAUCACAUUCCUUCAUAUCCUCAAGUUUUGUGGAAGAACACCAUAUACCUACAGUACUACUAAGGUUACCCCUAUUAACCCGGACUUCUGGGGCCGACAUUCAGUGUCGACUAGGUUAUUCUCGGGUAAGGAUCAAUUUAAGUGGGGUAGAAUUUCUAGCGGAUCUAGUAGUACUUAAGUCUAAGGGGAUAGAUGUGAUUCUUGGAAUGGACUGGUUGAGCCUGCAUGACGGUCAUAUAGGGUGUGCUGAUAAGGUGGUACACCUGACCAAUUGGGAUGGAGUGCAAGUGACCUGUCACACUAGGGGAAGUGGCCCGGACCCCAUGGUGUUCAGCAUGGAGACCCCAAGACCUUAGAAGAAGUCCCGGUAGUGAGUGAAUACCCGGACGUCUUUCCUGAGGAACUACCUGGAAUGCCCCCUGACAGGGACAUAGAGUUCGUAAUUGACCUCAUCCCCGGAACCUCCCCUAUAGCCAAGAGACCCUAUAGAAUGGCAGCCUCAGAGUUAGCCGAGCUGAAGAAACAGUUGGGAGAGUUGCAACAGAGUGGCUUUAUCAGGCCUAGCUCAUCCCCGUGGGGAGCCCCCGUACUUUUUGUCAAGAAGAAAGAUGGGAGUAUGAGGAUGUGCGUGGAUUAUCGCGCACUAAAUGAAGUCACCAUUAAGAACAAAUACCCCCUCCCCAGAAUAGAUGACCUAUUCGACCAGCUGAAAGGAGCCAAGUAUUUCUCCAAGAUAGACCUGAGAUCAGGGUACCAUCAGCUCAAGAUCAAGGAGAGCGACAUCCCGAAGACAGCCUUUGUCACCUGUUAUGGUCAAUUUGAGUUUACAGUGAUGUCCUUUGGAUUGACCAAUGCACCUGCUUAUUUCAUGAACCUCAUGAAUAAGGUGUUUAUGGACGAGUUAGAUAAGUUUGUUGUAGUCUUUAUUGACGACAUACUUAUUUACUCCAAGAGUGUUCGGGAGCAUGAACAACACCUACGGGUGGUAUUGGAAAAAUUGAGAGCCCACCGACUCUAUGCUAAAUUCAGCAAGUGCAAAUUUUGGCUUGAGAAAGUGGCAUUCCUGGGUCAUAUCUUGACCACAGAAGGAGUAGCAGUUGAUCCUGAGAAGGUUGAAGCCGUUUCCAACUGGCAGCAACCCACUAAUGUUAGUGAAAUAAGGAGUUUCCUGGGUUUAGCUGGGUAUUAUCGGAGGUUUAUUGAGGGAUUCUCCAAGAUAGCCCGGCCCAUGAUAGAGUUGCUCAGAAAGGACAAGAAGUUCACCUGGACCGAGUCAUGUGAACGGAGUUUCCAAGAGCUGAAGAGGAGAUUGACGACAGCCCCGGUAUUAACCCUACCGGAUAUCCAGUGAGACUUUGUCAUCUACUGUGAUGCAUCCCGACAAGGAUUAGGAUGUGUCCUCAUGCAGGACGGGAAGGUUGUGGCAUAUGCUUCUCGACAACUUAAGCCCCAUGAGCAGAACUACCCAACCCAUGACUUAGAGUUUGCAGCCGUAGUGCAUGCCCUCAAGAUCUGGAGACAUUAUCUGAUUGGGAACAAAUGUGAAAUCUACACCGACCAUAAAAGCCUAAAGUACAUCUUUACCCAACCCGAUCUGAAUUUAAGGCAAAGGAGGUGGUUAGAGCUGGUAAAGGACUACAACCUAGAAAUCCAUUACCAUCCCGGCAAAGCUAAUGUUGUAGCUGAUGCCUUAAGCAGGAAGUCCUAUGGACAGCCCGGACCCGAUAAUGCCCGUCUACAAAAGGAAAUGGCCCGGCUAAAUGUGCAUAUCAUUCCCCAGAAUGCUAACCGCAGGCUAAGUGUCCGGCCCACCUUGGAGGAUAAAAUCCGAGAAGCUCAGGGUGCAGACCAAGACCUAGUAAAAAUCCGCAAACAAACCGGAGAAAAUAAAGCCCCGGAUUUCAGAGUAGAUGACAAGGGAACCUUGUGGUAUAAGGACAGAAUUUGUGUCCCCAAGGCCGGAGAAUUCCGGCAGACCAUCAUGGAUGAAGUCCAUAACUCAGCAUACUCCAUUCACCCCAGAUCCAUGAAGAUGUAUAUGGACCUAAAGCUGAAAUACUGGUGGAAUGGGAUGAAGGCAGACAUAGCUCAGUUUGUCGCCCGUUGUGAUACUUGCCAAAGGGUCAAGGCCGAGCACCAGAAGCCAGCCGGCUUGCUACAACCCUUGCCUAUCCCGGUUUGGAAGUGGGAUGAGAUCGGCAUGGAUUUUGUAGUAGGCUUGCCCAGAACUCAGAAGGGAAAUGACUCCAUAUGGGUAAUAGUGGACCGACUCACUAAAGUUGCUCACUAUCUACCCGUACGGACCACAUACGGUGGAGAAAAACUAGCUAGACUCUACGUCGACAACAUAGUGAAGCUGCAUGGUGUGCCCAGCCGGAUCGUCUCGGAUAGAGGAACUCAGUUCACCUCUAGGUUUUGGAGGAGCUUACAUAAAGCCAUGGGCACCAAACUGGAUUUUAGUUCAGCCUAUCACCCCCAGACCGAUGGCCAAACAGAGCGGGUGAAUCAAAUCAUGGAAGAUAUGUUGAGGGCGUGUGUCCUUACCUAUGGAAAGGAUUGGGAACAAAGUCUACCCUAUGCAGAGUUCUCAUACAACAAUAGUUACCAAGCCAGUCUAGGCAUGUCACCAUUUGAGGCUCUUUAUGGUAGAAAGUGUCGAACCCCUCUGAUGUGGUCAGAAGUCGGAGAACGCUCCUUAGUCGGACCAGCUUUCAUCAAGGAAGCAGAAGACCGUGUGGCAGAAAUCCGAGAGAAGCUGAAGGCUGCACAGUCCAGACAAAAGAGCUACUCGGACAAAAGAAGACGGGAAUUGUACUUCAAUGAGGGAGAUUUUGUCUAUCUCAAGGUAUCCCCGAUUCGGGGUACUCGAAGGUUUCAAGUGCAAGGAAAGCUAGCCCCUCGGUAUAUCGGACCAUACCAGGUGUUAAAGAGAGUUGGAGCCGUAGCAUACCGUAUCCAACUGCCCGAAGAAAUGUCGGAUAUACACCCGGUAUUUCAUGUCUCCCAGCUGAGGAAAUGCUUGAGAGUACCGGAGGAACAAGUACCGGUGGAAACAAUAGACCUGCAAAAGGACCUUCGGUAUCAAGAAGUGCCUGUCAAGAUUUUGGACACUGUCACCAGACGGACGAGGAAUACAACGGUCCGGAUCUGCAGAGUGCAAUGGAGUAGGCAUGGCGAAGAAGAGGCCACGUGGGAACGCGAGGACGCGUUAAAGAAGGAAUUCCCCCAUCUCUUCUGGACUCAGUCGAAUCUCGAGGACGAGAUUCAAUUUAAGUAGGGUAGGUUUGUAACAUCCGCAGAAAUCACCAACUAAAAUCACCCGUUAAAAUUGCCUUUAAAAUCUUUUUACCGCUAAGCUCCCGGAAAUCGGAAAUCUCCCCGGCGAUUUCGCUGUCCCGGCACCCAUGCCGACCCCCACCUAUCUUUGUAUCUGUGCCGUAAAUCUCGCCGCGUGCCGUCGUCAGACCGCCGCGCGCGUGCUUCGACCGCGUGCCGCAUUUGCCGCCGGUCCCUCUCUUUUCCUUUCUCUUUUUCCCUCCCCUUUUUCUUUUCUUUUUCCUCCUUUCGUCCUCCUUCUUCUUCCUUCUUCCUCCUUCCUUCUUCUCUCUCCUUCUCUUCCUUCUUCCUGGCGCC